GGCGAACGCUGGCGGCGUGCUUAACACAUGCAAGUCGAACGGUAAGGCCCUUCGGGGUACACGAGUGGCGAACGGGUGAGUAACACGUGGGUGAUCUGCCCUGCACUUCGGGAUAAGCCUGGGAAACUGGGUCUAAUACCGGAUAGGACCACUGCCUGCAUGGGUGGUGGUGGAAAGCUUUUGCGGUGUGGGAUGGGCCCGCGGCCUAUCAGCUGGUUGGGGGGGUGAUGGCCUACCAAGGCGACGACGGGUAGCCGGCCUGAGAGGGUGACCGGCCACACUGGGACUGAGAUACGGCCCAGACUCCUACGGGAGGCAGCAGUGGGGAAUAUUGCACAAUGGGCGCAAGCCUGAUGCAGCGACGCCGCGUGAGGGAUGACGGCCUCCGGGUUGUAAACCUCUUUCAGCACCGACGAAGCGCAAGUGACGGUAGGUGCAGAAGAAGGACCGGCCAACUACGUGCCAGCAGCCGCCGUAA
rnacentral:rRNA from 1 species